rnacentral:rRNA from 1 species
ACGCUGGCGGCAGGCUUAACACAUGCAAGUCGAACGGUAACAGGAGAAAGCUUGCUUUCUUGCUGACGAGUGGCGGCCGGGUGAGUAAUGCUUGGGAAUCUGGCUUAUGGAGGGGGAUAACGACGGGAAACUGUCGCUAAUACCGCGUAGAGUCGAGAGACGAAAGUGCGGGACCGCAAGGCCGCAUGCCAUAGGAUGAGCCCAAGUGGGAUUAGGUAGUUGGUGGGGUAAUAGCCUACCAAGCCGACGAUCUCUAGCUGGUCUGAGAGGAUGACCAGCCACACCGGGACUGAGACACGGCCCGGACUCCUACGGGAGGCAGCAGUGGGGAAUAUUGCGCAAUGGGGGCAACCCUGACGCAGCCAUGCCGCGUGAAUGAAGAAGGCCUUCGGGUUGUAAAGUUCUUUCGGUAUUGAGGAAGGUUGUUGUGUUAAUAGCACGACAAAUUGACGUUAAAUACAGAAGAAGCACCGGCUAACUCCGUGCCAGCAGCCGCGGUAAUACGGAGGGUGCGAGCGUUAAUCGGAAUAACUGGGCGUAAAGGGCACGCAGGCGGACUUUUAAGUGAGGUGUGAAAUCCCCGGGCUUAACCUGGGAAUUGCAUUUCAGACUGGGAGUCUAGAGUACUUUAGGGAGGGGUAGAAUUCCACGUGUAGCGGUGAAAUGCGUAGAGAUGUGGAGGAAUACCGAAGGCGAAGGCAGCCCCUUGGGAAUGUACUGACGCUCAUGUGCGAAAGCGUGGGGAGCAAACAGGAUUAGAUACCCUGGUAGUCCACGCUGUAAACGCUGUCGAUUUGGGGAUUGGGCUUUAAGCUUGGUGCCCGAAGCUAACGUGAUAAAUCGACCGCCUGGGGAGUACGGCCGCAAGGUUAAAACUCAAAUGAAUUGACGGGGGCCCGCACAAGCGGUGGAGCAUGUGG